rnacentral:rRNA from 1 species
UACAGAGGUGGAAAGCGUUGUUCGGAAUUACUGGGCGUAAAGGGCGCGUAGGCGGCCUUCUAAGUCGGACGUGAAAGCCCCAGGCUUAACCUGGGAACUGCGUCCGAUACUGGGAGGCUUGGAUUCGGGAGAGGGAUGUGGAAUUCCAGGUGUAGCGGUGAAAUGCGUAGAUAUCUGGAGGAACACCGGUGGCGAAGGCGGCAUCCUGGACCGAGAUCGACGCUGAGGCGCGAAAGCUAGGGGAGCAAACGGG